AACGAACGCUGGCGGCAUGCCUAAUACAUGCAAGUCGAACGAGACCUUCGGGUCUAGUGGCGCACGGGGGCGUAACGCGGGGGAACCUGCCCUUAGGUUCGGAAUAACUCCCCGAAAGGGGUGCUAAUACCGGAUAAUGUCUUCGGACCAAAGAUUUAUCGCCUUUGGAUGGGCCCGCGUUGGAUUAGCUAGUUGGUAGGGUAAAAGCCUAUCAAGGCGACGAUCCAUAGCUGGGAUGAGAGGAUGAUCAGCCACACUGGGACUGAGACACGGCCCAGACUCCUACGGAAGGCAGCAGUGGGGAAUAUUGGACGAUGGGCGAAAGCCUGAUCCAGCAGUGCCGCGUGAGUGAUGAAGGCCUUAGGGUUGUAAAGCUCUUUUACCCGGGAUGAUAAUGACAGUACCGGGAGAAUAAGCUCCGGCUAACUCCGUG
rnacentral:rRNA from 1 species